GCGAUCAUACCAUUACUAAUGCACCGGAUCCCAUUAGAACUCCGAAAUUAAGCGUGCUUAGGCGAGAGCAGUACUAGGAUGGGUGACCCCCUGGGAAGUCCUCGUGUUCCACCU
rnacentral:rRNA from 1 species